rnacentral:rRNA from 1 species
UUGUUUUUUUUUAGAUUAAAGUUAAUUUUGCUUUUUUUAAUUAGCUUAUAUUAUGAUAAUUUUAUAUAUUAGUUUUUGCGUGUUUAAUUUUUUGUCUUAAUGAUAAAUUAUUUAUUUUAUUUGUAGUUUUUAAUUUUGGUUUUUAUAAUUAAUGUUAUCUCCAG